rnacentral:rRNA from 1 species
UACGUAGGGACAAGCGUUGUCCGGAAUCACUGGGCGUAAAGGGCACGCAGGCGGUCUAUCAAGCAGGAUGUGAAAGGCAGGAGCUCAACUCCUUGCACGGCAACCUGAACUGACAGACUAGAGUAUUGGAGAGGCAGGCAGAAUUCCUGGUGUAGCGGUGAAAUGCGUAGAGAUCAGGAGGAAUACCGGAGGCGAAGGCGGCCUGCUGGACAAAUACUGACGCUGAGGUGCGAAAGCGUGGGGAGCAAA